GACGAACGCUGGCGGCACGCCUAACACAUGCAAGUCGAACGGUCUUACAAGGGCUUGCUUCUUUAUGUUAGUGUCGGACGGGUGUGUAUCACGUGAACAACCUGCCUCUUAUAGGGGGAUAGCUUCUGUAAACGGAUGAUAAUAUCCCAUAUAAUAUAAAUAUCCCCUGAUCGUUUUAUCAAAGAAAUUCGUUCAGCCAUUGCCUCGCGUCUGAUUAGAUAGUUGGUGAGGUAACGGCUCAACAAGUCGACGAUCCGUAGCCGGACUGCGAGGUUGAACGGGCACAUUGGGACUGAGACACGGCCCAGACUCCUACGGGAGGCAGCAGUGGGGAAUAUUGCACAAUGGAGGGGACACGGAGGCAGCGAUGCCGCGUGGAGGAAGAAGAUGUUCGGAUUGUAAACGCCUGUGAAAAGGGACGAUAAUGACGGUACCUGAAGAAAAAGCGCCGGCUAACUACGUG
rnacentral:rRNA from 1 species